CCUACGGGUGGCAGCAGUGAGGAAUAUUGGUCAAUGGACGGGAGCCUGAACCAGCCAAGCCGCGUGAAGGAAGAAGGCGCCAAGCGUCGUACACUUCUUUUGUCGGGGAACAAAGGGCGCCCCGUGUGGCGUUGUGAGUGUACCCGAAGACAUAGCAUCGGCUAACUCCGUGCCAGCAGCCGAGGUACUACGGAGGAUGCGAGCGUUAUCCGGAUUUAUUGGGUUUAUAGGGUGCGUGGGCGGUCCUGAAAGUCAGCGGUAACAGCCCGGGGCUCAACCCCGGCGAGCCGUUGAAACUGUCGGACUAGAGACGGCGAGAAGAUCGCGGAAUGCGCGGUGUAGCGGUGAAAUGCGUAGAUAUCGCGCAGAACUCCGGUGGCGAAGGCAGCGUACCGGCGCCCGACUGACGCUGAGGCACGAAAGCGUGGGGAUCGAACAGGAUUAGAUACCCUUGUAGUC
rnacentral:rRNA from 1 species